rnacentral:rRNA from 1 species
AGGAGAGUUUGAUCCUGGCUCAGAACGAACGCUGGUAGCGUGUCUUAUACAUGCAAGUCGAGCGGUGCAGCAAUGCAUAGCGGCGAACGGGUGAGUAACGCGUAAGCAAUCUGCCCCCUGCUCGGGAAUAGCCGUGCCAACGCGCGGGUAAUACCGGAUAUUGUGGCCCUGGACAUCCGGGGUUGACAAAAGAUUUAUCGGCAGGGGAUGAGCUUGCGUCCGAUUAGCUAGUUGGCGGGGCAACGGCCCACCAAGGCGACGAUCGGUAGCCGGCCUGAGAGGGUGAUCGGCCACAUUGGGACUGAGAUACGGCCCAGACUCCUACGGGAGGCAGCAGUAGGGAAUAUUGCACAAUGGGGGAAACCCUGAUGCAGCAACGCCACGUGUGGGAAGAAGCAUUUCGGUGUGUAAACCACUGUCGUGAGGGAAUAAGGCUGAGUUUCGGCUCAGUUGAAUGUACCUCGAGAGGAAGCACCGGCAAACUUCGUGCCAGCAGCCGCGGUAAUACGAGGGGUGCAAGCGUUGUUCGGAAUCACUGGGCGUAAAGGGAGCGCAGGCGGAAGCUCAAGCGGAUUGUACAAUACCGGGGCCCAACCCCGGACCUGCAGUCCGAACUGGGUUUCUUGGAUAGUUCAGGGGCAAGCGGAAUUCCUGGUGUAGCGGUGGAAUGCGUAGAGAUCAGGAAGAACACCGAUGGCGAAGGCAGCUUGCUGGGGACUUAUCGACGCUCAUGCUCGAAAGUGCGGGUAGCAAACAGGAUUAGAUACCCUGGUAGUCCCCU